AACACAUGCAAGUCGAGCGAUUCUCUUCGGAGAAGAGCGGCGGACGGGUGAGUAACGCGUGGGUAACCUGCCUCAUACACAUGGAUAACAUACCGAAAGGUAUGCUAAUACAGGAUAACAUAAGAGAUUCGCAUGUUUCUCUUAUCAAAGCUCCGGCGGUAUGAGAUGGACCCGCGUCUGAUUAGCUAGUUGGUAAGGUAAUGGCUUACCAAGGCGACGAUCAGUAGCCGACCUGAGAGGGUGAUCGGCCACAUUGGAACUGAGACACGGUCCAAACUCCUACGGGAGGCAGCAGUGGGGAAUAUUGCACAAUGGGCGAAAGCCUGAUGCAGCAACGCCGCGUGAGUGAUGAAGGCCUUCGGGUCGUAAAACUCUGUCCUCAAGGAAGAUAAUGACGGUACUUGAGGAGGAAGCCCCGGCUAACUACGUGCCAGCAGCCGCGGUAAUACGUAGGGGGCUAGCGUUAUCCGGAUUUACUGGGCGUAAAGGGUGCGUAGGUGGUUUCUUAAGUCAGGAGUGAAAGGCUACGGCUUAACCGUAGUAAGCUCUUGAAACUGGGAAACUUGAGUGCAGGAGAGGAAAGUGGAAUUCCUAGUGUAGCGGUGAAAUGCGUAGAUAUUAGGAGGAACACCAGUAGCGAAGGCGGCUUUCUGGACUG
rnacentral:rRNA from 1 species